rnacentral:rRNA from 1 species
AGUGAACGCUGGCGGUAGGCCUAACACAUGCAAGUCGAACGGCAGCACAGUAAGAGCUUGCUCUUACGGGUGGCGAGUGGCGGACGGGUGAGGAAUACAUCGGAAUCUACUUUUUCGUGGGGGAUAACGUAGGGAAACUUACGCUAAUACCGCAUACGACCUACGGGUGAAAGCAGGGGAUCUUCGGACCUUGCGCGAUUGAAUGAGCCGAUGUCGGAUUAGCUAGUUGGCGGGGUAAAGGCCCACCAAGGCGACGAUCCGUAGCUGGUCUGAGAGGAUGAUCAGCCACACUGGAACUGAGACACGGUCCAGACUCCUACGGGAGGCAGCAGUGGGGAAUAUUGGACAAUGGGCGCAAGCCUGAUCCAGCCAUACCGCGUGGGUGAAGAAGGCCUUCGGGUUGUAAAGCCCUUUUGUUGGGUAAGAAAAGCAGCAGGUUAAUACCCCGCUGUUCGGACGGUACCUAAAGAAUAAGCACCGGCUAACUGCGU